CUGGGGAGCAACAGGAUUAGAUACCCGGUAGUCCAUGCCGUAAACGUUGGGCGCUAGGUGUGGGACUCAUUCCACGAGUUCCGUGCCGCAGCUAACGCAUUAAGCGCCCCGCCUGGGGAGUACGGCCGCAAGGCUAAAACUCAAAGGAAUUGACGGGGGCCCGCACAAGCGGCGGAGCAUGCGGAUUAAUUCGAUGCAACGCGAAGAACCUUACCAAGGCUUGACAUAUACCGGAAACAUCCCAGAGAUG
rnacentral:rRNA from 1 species